GUCCGUGAAUAACCAAAAGCUUAUUAGUACGUCCGUCGGCGCCCAACUGCCGUUCCGUGUCAUUCGAUUGCUGACUCUUGAUGAGCUUCGAGGACAACUCGGAUGAUUUUUGCAAAAGAAGAUUGCCAACCAGGAAUGUUCUUUGUCUUUGGUGAAAUUUUCAUCGAGAAAGAAUUAUCGAAGGAACGAAUUCUGAUCGGGGAGCUUCACCGUCUAGGCGUUAGAGAUUCGCGGAAUCGAGCAGGAAAUUGUGAACCCUGGGAUUUAUGAUGCGACGACCACCACCGGAAGCUCGUAUGCGGUAACUAAAUACUUGAAAAAAAAUUUAUCAGAGACUCAUCGCCUUUCUCGGAAACCAACUAUUCUCCCCUCCUCUGUUUAACUAUUCGAAUCGGCUGGUUUGUAACGUGUAUAUGGGCGAGCGCAUGGGUGCCACUGAUAACACUACGUUUCAAUGCCUAGCUUUUAGCGCGUCGAUCGUGUCGUGUCAGAAUUUUUGGAAGACCUUGAGAUAUCUUCGGUUUACCUGGCUCUGGCCCUGAACAAAGACGAUCUUUCUUCAAGCGUUCGUGAUAAUCGGACGUCCAACGAAACGUUAACACAGAAACAGAUGUUCUCAGAAGCGAAGAUAAUCCUAAGUCAUCGAGUAAACUUGGCUGGUUGUGUCGUGGAAAAAUUUGUUUGUACGUUGUUUCGCAAGUUGAACCGUUGGGAAGAGGGUGGAAGGAAUAGUAUAGAAUAGUGGGGUACAAAACUUUGAAAAUUCUUCGAAAAUUUGGAAUCCUCGAUUUUAUUAAUCAUAUAUAUUUCAUUCGUUUGAAUCAAUCCUUUGGCGAAGUCAAAUUUCCUAAAAAAUGAAAUUCGAUAUCAUCGAACGAAAAGAAAAGAGAAGAGGAGAAGAGGGAGAGGGGGAAAAAAUGGACUAAAAGAGAAUGGGAUCAGGGGUAUCGAUGUAGCGGUCGGCUGUUCCUGAAUGCAACCUCAUCGAAGACAGAGAGAAGCUUCUUCCGGCGGAUGUACAGCCGCGACGUGUCGUCGAUACAUCCUGCUACCAGGACUACAAUAGCAAGCACCCUCCUCUUCCUGGUUACAUGUGCCAAUUAUGCCACGUUGCACGCAGAGACGGAGAGGUUACACGCCGCUUCUCUCAAAUCUUUUUUCCACUCGAGUCUCCCUCCGGAAAUUCCUUAAUUUCAAAAAAAAAAAUCUCUCUAAAACAAAAAUAAAAAUCCUAAAAUUUACGUAUCUAAGUCGUAGCUCGUUGAAUCACGUUCGAAACUAAGUUAGGGACGAGUGGAAAAUCCUCGAACCCGAUUGGAUCGAGGUCAAGAUCGACGAAAAGGAAGAUCGAUCGGUUGUUGGACGAAGUUCGUCGACCGAUCGAAUCAUUGCAGCUUCCAGUCUCAGGCGACAGGACUGAAACGACGUGGAACGACCUACGAGCAGGAUCGUGAUAGGCGAGAAGAGAGAAUCGGGCGUUAGUGAACGGAUACCAACGGCUGCGCCGUAUUAUUAGCAUCGUGUAAACGUGUCUGUUGGCCGUGAAACCAGUGAAAGUAUUCCAUGGACGAGGCACACGGAUACGAGGCACGCAUACAGGCGAGAGCCUCGCGGCUUUAUCACGAACACGAGCGUUCGUUCUCUCUGUUCCUCUUCCCUCCUCCCUACAUGCCACUCCAUGUGGUGAAAUUCUUUCGAGACGGCCACCAGAGGCGCGGCCAGAUCUGGGCCUUUGUCCCCUUUGUGUGGAACCUGCGGCCUAUCUCUGGUCCCUUUUUCCACCUCGAACGAUCCACCACUACUAAUCCUUCUUUCUUUCUCUCUGCGUGCUUCGAGCAUUGACGAGACGACAUUUCCAAAUCGUUUCCUCUUUUCGUUUCGAUUCGAUCUUCUCUCCAUUGUUCUCCAUUUAUACGCGAUUAUAAAUUUAUAUGUAGGAAUUUAAAUAUCGGGGAGAUACGACUUAAUCGAAGAAGAUCGAAUUUUAAAGUUUUAUGAUAAACGUAUUUCGUUCGUUUCUUCUCUUUUUCUUUUAUUUCUUUUAAUGCUAAUCAUUUCGAUCUUUCUAUGGAUUUUUGUGAAUCAUCACUCUCUCGCUACAUCGAGUUAAUUCUACGAAUUCUCUAAACGAACGACCAAACCUCAUAUUAAUUUCAUCGAUAUUUAUCGCGGUUAUAUUUGGUAGAGGUAUAAACGGUUGAUUUUUCGGCCAUUUCGUUAUCUAGGAUCGUUUCUCUAUCGCGUUUGAUAUACCGAUAUAUUGAUAUAUCGUCCGACGUCACUGGCAUUCCCUGUGAAUGAGUCAAGACGACAACGAUCCAUCGAUUGCGAUAAAUGCGACCUGCCGCCAUCGAGACGUCAGCCUUCUUAUGGUAGCAUGAUCUUUCGAGAGAAGGAUGAAAAUUACGAGAUCGCGGUGUCCUCGUUUUGCCAGUUUCCCUUUCGAAUCUUAUUGUUUCGCGAGCUGUGUAUACAAAACGAGCGUCACGUCGAUGGAUGCAGAUGGAUGGAUGGAUCGACGAUCGAUCGAAUUGCGGCGAUAAGGCACCUUGUAUCUUUUGAUCCACGAUCCCAUUAUUUCAUCACAAAUCUUCUCGAAUGGAAGUAUGCCGAGGUAUUCAAAUUAUUCUUUGCUGAUGGAUAUUAGCGACGAAUACUAAUAAACCCUUCGAAACGAAUUCGCAUCCUGAAAUUUGCAAAAGAAAAAAAAAAAAUUUCUAAGAAAGAACGAUUGCUCAAUGAUAAAUUUCACUCUCGACGCACCCACUCAGCUCGCCAGAGAAUUUUAUUUUUAAACAGAUUCCAUGACGAACCUGCCACAAGAGCGACCUCUCGUGUUCAACCUCUCGACGCCUCUGUCGUCCACUCGGCGAAAAAUAACCGACGAGAAUUUUACUUCGCUCCCCAGAACGAAACGAACGAAUGAAAUUUCUUUGGGAGAGAAUCGAGGCGGAGAGUGGCGAUCGGUCGAAAGGAAUAAAUCCAGGUCCUCUCGGUCGGUCGGGCAUUUUGUCGACGAAACGUGUCGAAACCACGACUCAAGUUCUCCUUUCACUAAUUGUAAAGGAGCCGCGAAUAUGCGCGACUGAAAUUUUGCGAAACAACCGCACGAACGAAGCUUUUGCGAAAGGGUCCCCCCUCCGGUGAAAGAAACCUUCGGCCAAUUCAAAAAGGAAACCUGUCGAUCGGAGCCGCCGCGUUGCGCGACGCGUUACGAAAAACACGGCGCGGAGCGGGUUCGAGAGAUCGUGGAUCCUCGAGAGAGAUGAGAAACACGACGCUGAAACGGGUGCUCUUGGAACAGGCUCUAUUAUUUGCCAUUGGACGUGAACCGACCGAUUUUCUAUAGAUUCCAAACAUCGGAGAAGAAAUAACCCAAUUUUUGUGCACAACGAUGAGAGAAUAGCUACUCUUGCUCGAUAGAUGGUUGCAGAGGCGGUUGUACAUCCGUAAUCUUGUUAAUCUUUGUACGAUCCCCGGAUAAAAUGGGUAAAAUCGUUGCUUUUGCAAUUAUCGAGGAUCACAGUGGCCGCAUUUGCGAUGGUUAAAGGGCAGAAGACGAGAGAAUCACGCUGAGAGGCAUCCACUUCGCUCGAGUUGCGUCUUCUGCAAUUCCGUAAUUUCGAGUUGCAUCGAAACGAUUCCUCCUUCACAGUCUCGUUUAAAUAGACGUUGUGCUCCGAGUUUUUGCGAUGACGAAACGGAAAAUCGGCUGGGGUCCAACCUUUCCAAGGGAAAGAAUUGUUGUUGAUCGGCUGGCAAUUUGAACUAAUGAUAUCCAUCGAUCCAUCGAUCGCGAUCUAACUAAGGGGAGAGAUCGGUAACGGAGCGAAAAGGUCGCUGGAUGCUAAUUCGUUGAAGGAUAGACAUCUCAUCUCGGUGUAACGGUGAGCCAGAAAAACGAUUUCACAAAAAAGAGGGGAGGAGGCAACGUCGAUUUUUCAUCUCUCAUCCGCCUCUCUCCCGCCGUCGAGACUUGAUUCUCUCGUCUCUCGUCUCUCGACGGGAGGAAGGGAAGAAAGAACCAGACACGGAUGGAGGGACCAAGAGGGUGGGACGAACAACGAUUCGAAGCCCGCAUACCGCGUACGGGACCAUUGUGAACCAGACUUUCGGGUUCGACGAUAAAUAAAAACGAAUCAUAAAAGACAGAGAGGAGAGGAGAGAGAGAGAGAGAGAGAGAGAAACGACGAAAUGGCCCGUGCAGCAACGAUUCGAGCCUUCCUUCGCCAACAAAGGGGUCUGGCCCUCUUUGUGAUCGAAACAUUUUCUAAUGCACCGACCUGGCCGUUCGAAUAUUUCAGCUCGAUUAACAAGUUCCGUCCCUAGUAGUAGUCAAAGAAUGUGGGAACCAAUUAAUCCUUCCAAACUCGUGGAAUUGCAGACUUGCCGCGUUUUAAUCGUGAUCGCGAUUCAUUUAUAAUUUUCUUCGAUACUCUUGGAAUAUUUUAUACAGAGGAAUUUUUUUAAUUUUUCGACGAAGGAGUCUUCCACUCCCACCGAGUCGAUUACGAUUAGAGUUUUCAUGCUCUUCUAUCUCGAUUAUAUAUUUACUUUUUCUUCUCUCACAAUUUCCACGAAAAUUCUUGAAAAGAGGACGCGCAGCGAAGGAAUCGAUCUCCUCCACGCUCUUCCACCGCAUCGCUCGAUUGCACAAGGCGUGGAUCAGAAAAUGGAAUUUCUUUUCUUCAUCGCGCAAGAGAACCUUUUCAUCGAAGGAAUCCAUUCUUCGGAACGUCCAAAGCUGGGCGCGAGCAACGUUUCUCAAUCGGGGUGGAAGAAAGGAAAAGAUGGAUCGGUGACGAGAAACGCGUUUCGAACGCACGCGCUCUUCCACGAGGAGGCGAAUCCCGACCUCCGCCUUCUCGCUCCGUACCCCUUUCCUUUUCACCGGGUGAAAAAUCCCUCUCCCCCUCGCGGAGACUUUUUAACUCUUCUGCCCACGUCGCGGCUCCUCUCAAAGGAGAGCUCUCUCCGGAAACGCGUGCGUCUCCUCCGUGCCUUUCGCAGAGCUUCCACAGUCCCACGACCUUCGCGCGAGCCUUCUGCGUGUGCACACACCAUGUUCCUCUUCCUCUUGUGCACACACAAGUGUCCCACGGAAAAUGUCAAUUUGCCGAGCGAACGAUUCUCGCUUGCGCAAUACGCGCCAGGCUGGCUAUCGACGCUCGGCUAGAGAGAGAAAGAGAGACCUCCUUUGUUCUCCGAGACACGGUUUAGUUCUUCCCAUUCCGUGAACUGGAAUGGAUUUUAGGCCAUUGAUUCGCUCCUACGUUCAAUUUUCGAGGGAUGUAUUCUUCAACGAUGGAUUCUUCGAUCCAAUUCCACGCGUUUAUGUGUUUCGAAAUUUAUUUUCGAAACACGGUGUAUAGAGUAUAUAUAUAUGUUUCAUUUCGAGAAUUUUGCUUUCGAUUUUAUUUUAGAUCGUGACUUCAUUUCAUAUUUUUGUUUAUACGCGUAUAAAUAUUUAUAUAUAUAUAUAUCACAUUUAUAAUAAUCUUCUUUCUCGAUUUAAAUAUAUGUAUAAUGAAUGCAUUUGUAUGCCAUUCUUUUAGUAGUUUUACAUUAUUAUUCGUAUUUAAUCACCUACUUAACCAUACUUUAUAAUUGCAUAACAUAUUCUAAUAUUACCACUUUUACUUAAGCUGCUGUGUUCUCAUUCCUGGCUAACCUACAUCUCGCUUUAACCUAACGUAACCUCUAUAUAUUUCUUUCUCUAUUUACAUAAUAAGAUAUUCAAAUUAAACGACUCGUGGUUCCAAGUUUUUUUAGAUUUUAAUCGGAACGAGCCAAAGCUCGCAUCAUCUUUUUCUUCAAUCAUGAUGCGAUAAAUAAACGGGUCGGCCGAUACUUUUCACGAGAUUCGCUUUUAGCUUGCGAGACAUCGGGGUCAGCUUUUCGAGAUUCCAUCGCGCGCGUGUCCCCGACACCGAAAGACGCGUGCCCUUUCUCCGCUACGAGUCGUUCCAAAAGCAUCGACUUUCGAGCCCAGAACUUUGGUCAGUUUUUUUUUUUUUCAAUACAGAGAGUCAAAGUUGAAGGGGUGAUAACGAGACUCGAUGCUUAUCACCAGAUUCUUAGAAUCGUCGAAGAAUCGCGGGGACACGAUUCCUUUCGAAUUUUUAUUCGUAGAAACAAUCAUUAUUGUAAUUUUACAGUUCACAGUUUAAAAUAAUAAUUUUUUCUUUUAAA